rnacentral:tRNA from 1 species
AGGACUGUAGUUAAGUAUAACAUUUGGUUUGCAUCUAAAAAGUAUUGAUUAAUCAAUCUGUCUUA